rnacentral:rRNA from 1 species
CAGCAGCCGCGGUAAUACGGAGGAUCCAAGCGUUAUCCGGAAUCAUUGGGUUUAAAGGGUCCGUAGGCGGUCUUGUAAGUCAGUGGUGAAAGCCCAUCGCUCAACGAUGGAACGGCCAUUGAUACUGCAGGACUUGAAUUAUUGGGAAGUAACUAGAAUAUGUAGUGUAGCGGUGAAAUGCUUAGAGAUUACAUGGAAUACCAAUUGCGAAGGCAGGUUACUACCAAUUGAUUGACGCUGAUGGACGAAAGCGUGGGUAGCGAACAGGAUUAGAUACCCGCGUAGUCCCUGUCUCUUAUAC